rnacentral:hammerhead_ribozyme from 1 species
AUCCAACUGAAGAGUCCCAAAUAGAACGAAACGCCUAUCUUGGAU